GAGGGUAUGGAAGGGGAAAAAUAAAGGAGGGGUGGAGAGGAAACCGGAGGAGGAUAUGGAAGGGAAAAAAUAGGAAGGGUUGGAAAGAAAGCCGGAGGAGGAUAUGGAAGGGGAAAAAUAGGAAAGGUUGGAAAGAAAGCCGGGGGAGGAUAUGGAAGGGGAAAAAUAGGAAGGGUUGGAAAGAAAGCCGGGGGAGGAUAUGGAAGGGGAAAAAUAGGAAGGGUUGGAAAGAAAGCCGGGGGAGGAUAUGGAAGGGGAAAAAUAGGAAGGGUUGGAAAGAAAGCCGGGGGAGGAUAUGGAAGGGGAAAAAUAGGAAGGGUUGGAAAGAAAGCCGGGGGAGGAUAUGGAAGGGGAAAAAUAGGAAGGGUUGGAAAGAAAGCCGGGGGAGGAUAUGGAAGGGGAAAAAUAGGAAGGGUUGGAAAGAAAGCCGGGGGAGGAUAUGGAAGGGGAAAAAUAGGAAGGGUUGGAAAGAAAGCCGGGGGAGGAUAUGGAAGGGGAAAA